rnacentral:rRNA from 1 species
ACGGGUGAGUAACACGUAUGCAACCUACCUGUAAGAGGGGAAUAACCCGGAGAAAUUCGGACUAAUACCGCAUAAUACCGCUGAACUGCAUGGUUUAGUGGUUAAACAUUUAUGGCUUACAGAUGGGCAUGCGUAUGAUUAGCUAGUUGGUGAGGUAACGGCUCACCAAGGCAACGAUCAUUAGGGGUUCUGAGAGGAAGGUCCCCCACACUGGUACUGAGACACGGACCAGACUCCUACGGGAGGCAGCAGUGAGGAAUAUUGGUCAAUGGGCGAGAGCCUGAACCAGCCAAGUCGCGUGAAGGAAGAAGGUUCUAUGGAUUGUAAACUUCUUUUGUAAGGGAAUAAAAAAGAGUACGUGUACUCUAUUGUAUGUACUUUACGAAUAAGGAUCGGCUAACUCCGUGCCAGCAGCCGCGGUAAUACGGAGGAUCCGAGCGUUAUCCGGAUUUAUUGGGUUUAAAGGGUGCGUAGGCGGACCCUUAAGUCAGUGGUGAAAGUUUGCGGCUCAACCGUAAAAUUGCCAUUGAAACUGAGGGUCAUGAGUGUAAAUGAGGUAGGCGGAAUGUGUUGUGUAGCGG